rnacentral:rRNA from 1 species
UACGUAGGUGGCAAGCGUUAUCCGGAUUUAUUGGGCGUAAAGGGAACGCAGGCGGUCUUUUAAGUCUGAUGUGAAAGCCUUCGGCUUAACCGGAGUAGUGCAUUGGAAACUGGGAGACUUGAGUGCAGAAGAGGAGAGUGGAACUCCAUGUGUAGCGGUGAAAUGCGUAGAGAUCGGGAGGAACACCAGUGGCGAAGGCGGCCUACUGGGCUCUAACUGACGCUGAGGCACGAAAGCGUGGGUAGCAAACAGG